rnacentral:rRNA from 1 species
UACGUAGGGGGCUAGCGUUGUUCGGAAUUACUGGGCGUAAAGCGCACGUAGGCGGGUCGUUAAGUCAGGGGUGAAAUCCCAGAGCUCAACUCUGGAACUGCCUUUGAUACUGGCGACCUAGAGUUCGGAAGAGGUUAGUGGAAUUCCCAGUGUAGAGGUGAAAUUCGUAGAUAUUGGGAAGAACACCAGUGGCGAAGGCGGCUAACUGGUCCGAUACUGACGCUGAGGUGCGAAAGCGUGGGGAGCAAACAGG